GACGAAGGUGGCGAGCGUUACUCGGAAUUACUAGGCGUAAAGCGUGGGCAGGCGGUUCGGUAAGUCUGUUGUGAAAGCUCCUGGCUUAACUGGGAGAGGCCAAUGGAUACUGCCGGACUUGAAUCGGGGAGGGGUCACUGGAAUUCCUGGUGUAGCGGUGAAAUGCGUAGAUAUCAGGAGGAACACCAAUGGCGAAAGCAGGUGACUAGACCCGUAUUGACGCUCAUCCACGAAAGCUGGGGGAUCAAACAGG
rnacentral:rRNA from 1 species